CCAAUUGAUGAUGAAGAGCUCCUCCAGCACAUCUUGACGGGACUUGAUGAGGAAUAUAAUCCCAUCGUCUCGGCCAUCCUUGCCUGCAUUGAGGGCACACCCUUCUAUGCGCUCGUCACCCAGCUCCUCAGCUUCGAAC
rnacentral:snoRNA from 1 species